GCCGUGCCGUAGGGACGGGAUGAGUGCGAGCAGGCACCGAGCGGUCCAUCCACCUCUCCGUUUCUCGCUGUGUGAGCGGAUCCCCGCCCCUAGCUCUCCCCCGCCCGGUUUUUCCGAGGCUUUCCCAAGGGCUGUGGUCCCGAGUCGUGGCACCCGAGGGCAGCUCCGCGACUGUCCUUGGCCAUGCCAGUCCGGGACGCCGUGCCUCCUGAUGGGGAGAGGAGGCAGCAGCCUGGAGCGCGCAGGACCCUGGGUCUGCCCCAUCCGAGACCCGCGGUAGGGGCCCAAAGUAAGGGUCUCGACUACCCUGACGGGGAGGGGGCGAGGAUGGCAACCCUCCUUCGCCCUUAGGGCUUCUGCCCCUUUAGAGUUGGACAGCGCCGAUCCAGGGGCGGCGGGGGCACCGAGAGAUGAGGCUUCCUUUGGUGAAAACUUUAUUCACUGCGCACAAAAGAGGCAGCUACAGGGCAGACCACCCUCUGCUCUGAUUCAUCCUUUACUCUUCCCCCUGCAGAUAUGGCUCUGGAGUAGCCAGCCCGACGGCCUGAGAAGGGGGUCAGGGCUGGACAAAGGGAACAGACCCCCAACAAGCCCAUCUGGUGCAGUGGGUGGGCAGCACCGCCUGGGGAAGGAGGGACACACUUUUGCCCACUCUUGUCUUCAGGACGAGCCCCAAGACCCUAGCCCCUUGAUCCCAUCCCUGCCUAGACCACGGAGCGCUCAAGACACCCUUCCAGGGCUAGCGGAUACCUGGCCCCGCAUGCUUGACAUCACUGGACAUGAAGCAGGAGUGUCUCACGUGCAGUGAGCAUGCCUCUGGUUGAGGGACAGCUUGGUGUCCUGGACAGCAACCGCGCUGUGGACUCUGGGCUCCUGUGGCACCUUCCAGGUCCUGUUCUCACAGGAGAGGAAGGGCCAGGUGAGCUGCAGUCCUCACUGGGUCUUUGGUCCCCACAUACCCACCCAUGGAGCACCCACUCCCAUCCCCAGCCUCACUAAUUAUUGGUCAUCCCCCAAAAUUCCAGAUCAGUGCCAGAUCUCGAGGCCUUUAUCAGAGCCUGAAGCCAAGGGUCAGAAGCCCCCCAACAGCCCCAGCAUGCCUCAUUAGUUGGUCUAGAGGACCCUGCCCCCAACACCAGGCCUCUCCAGCUAAUUGGGACCCUGAGCAGGGUCUCCCCAGGCCUCUGCCCCUAGUGGGGAAGAGUUAGGGGUGAAGGUUUGGGGGGGCACUCCCUGGCAGCGCGUUGGCUUCUCCCUUCCCAUCAGGCAGGGAGGGCCCUGGGCCCGCACUCCUGUCCCAGCUAUGUGGGGGACUUGGGAGCUCCCCCCAGAAAGCAGAAAAUGAUGGUGACCUAGGGACCUCACAUCCCCACCCCGAGCUCCCCAGGGCAUUGGCCAGCUCACUCAUUGGGUUCCAGUGGAAGCCUGAGGCAGCUACAGCCACUCUGCCCCAAGGGGAAGGGGCACCCACCCAGGCGACAGUGCCGGGGGUAAGGGGCCCCAUGGCAUCUCUAGGCCUGAGGACAGCUGGGUGACCAAUCCGCCAGUCCGCUCCAGAGAAGAGAGGAGUCUUCAGGGCUUUGUGCCGCUGGCAGGGUGGAAAUCCAGUUCGAUCCAGCCUGAGGCCUCCCUGGGGAGUCUGGUGGAUGCCCUGAGCCUGUUCUGGGGCUGGGGGCUCACCAUUGCUGAGCUUUUCCUGGUCAGGGCAGCUCCUGGCCGAGUGGAAGGGCCAGCCAUGGGGCUGAGGGCUCUGCAGUCCCCCUCAGCUGGGCAUGUCGUGCGUCCAGGGCAUCUUGCCUACUUUGGGCCAAGAGCAGAUGAGGGUGGGGCGAGGGCUGUGCUCCAGGUUCCAGGUACGAGAUCCGCUGAGCUGCAGCACGGUUCAGGAGGGCAGAUGUGAGCAAGUCCUACUUCCCACCUGAGAGAUCUGGGCUGAUGAAGCCAAGGAACUGUCUCCAGAGACCACGAGGGGCCCCAACCUUCACCCCACGUCAGCCGUCACACCCACCUCUGCAGCUGCCCCUGUCAACGGCCGUGGGGACUCCCUCUCUAGUCCUAUGGAGGCCCAGUCCUAGGGCUUGGCUCUGCGGAGGGGCUGGAACCCCACUGCUGCCAGCCACAGCCUAUGAGGAAAGUGAAAGGAUUCCAGCCCCUUGCCCCACAGAGACAGUCCAUCUCUGAUCCUGGAUCCACCAGCCCUGAGAGCCCCCAGCGAGAGCCCUGGCAAGCUGCCUGCCCAGAAGUAUGAGGGCUAAUGGGGUUUGUGUGAGCAUUGGGGCUGCUGUCAUCUCUGCCCCAUUAAGGGGAAAGGAUGAGGGGGUUGAGGGUCAGCACCCACCUUCCCCAGGUAGCUGAGCAUGGCACUGACGGCCUCCAGCCCACCAGAAAGGGCACAAGGCCAGGACCACAAAGACCAGAGCCCAGCUGGCCCGCCUUUAAGCCGCUGCCCACCAUCAGCGUAGAUCCCCCCUCCCAUGCACAGGAACACCCAGCGCACUGCUCAGGCUUCACACAUCCCAAAGGCCUUCCCUUCACUGCUCUCUUCCAGGGCCCCCAGAGGCGAGGUAGAGGCAGGCCAGAACAGGCAGCCCCCCACUUCUGGCUGAAGCCAGCUUCCUAGGCAGCCCCACUGGAGACCAGAGGAAGGAGCCUGGGCUGUGCAGAGGUGGAGGCGGCUGCUGGGGUGCAGCCAGACUUUUCUUCUCUUGAGGCGAAAGAGGAGGGGGUCGUCCAGAGGGAGAAGGAGCACAGUGAGCUGCGUGGGCGGGUAGCACCCACCUCCCCCCUCCCCACUUCCAGCACUAGCACCUCCAUUUCCUUUGGGAACCCCCUUUUUCUGGCCUCGGUCUGUGGGGGUCUUGGUGGGGCUCACACACCCUGCCCAGGGGUUGGCGGGGCUCCCGGGCCUGGCUAGUAGGACCCAUCGCUUUGACCUCAAGGCCUUUGCUGAGGUUUGUGGGAAGGGGAAUUGCUCUGGUGGCAGGGGCAGACUUCCAGCUGCUGCCGCCCUAAAGAUGUUGCAUGGGAAGAGCCAGUCUGAGAGCGAAGCCAACCCCUGAGAGAGGCAAGACACCUGGGCAGAGUAUUUGCUCCAAGUGUCUGGACCCAGCCUUGCCUGAAGUGAGCACACCCUCUGGACUUCAAAGUCACGGGAGCCAGGAAAGCCCCUUUUGUGUAAACAUUGAAACUCGGGCUCUCUGAUUACUGAAACUCAGAGUCCCAUCGGAUCUGUGGCCUGCAGGCCCUACGUAGGCUAGCCCCCGCCAAGCUCACCAACUUCACCUUCCACCCCUCCACCCUGAUCCCUUCCUUUUCCUAGAACUCCUAGGUCAAUCUCUGCCUGAUGGCCCCUCCCUGCAGAUCUGAGUCUCCUCCCACGCCCUGGCUGGGUCCAGAGGGCCUCGGAGGCAGCAGGGUGGGCAGUGGGCCCCUCCGUCCCUGCCCUCCAGCUGUGGACUAUGGACACAGACUAGCCCCAGGCCUGGCAAGGGGCCAGCAUGAAGGACGAGGGGCCAGCAAGGCACAGACCCCGGCCCAUGGCUGUGAGCAAGAGCUGGGGAACCGCUUCUGUGAAAGGAAAACACGGUUUCCCGGUCUCCUGUUGGGUCAGUGGGGACUGGACAUGGGAAGUCCAACUGGGGCUAGCCCUGAGGACGGGAGGGAGGCAGGGAGGAGAGAGACCUCUACGCAGCACCUGCAGUUCUGGCUGGAGCUGCCUUUUCAACGCACACACUUCACUGUCCGAAGCGCCAGUGUCCAAUGGCGUCAGACAUGAGCACCAGCUGUGUUGCUAUUUACUACACAUCUUCUUUAACUCCAUUCACUUUUUCACUUAAACAAUGUUUUUCAAAGGGAGAUUUCAUAUCACAAACACAAAUAGAAAGUUCCAGAAAAAUAAAUAUCAGACAGUUUUGGCUUCUUGUGCUGCUUGGAGGCAUCAGACUGAUUCUAAAGCAUGUCCCCAAAGCCUCUGUGGCCUUCAUCCUCUCUGUACCCCAAAUGCUGCCUGUUCCUCUGCUGUAACUGGAGAGCCACCCAGGCCUGUCCCAGAGCCCAGCGGGCUGCUGGCCCCCCACAGGAUCACUUUAGUCCCCACUCCUACUGGGGAGGGGGCAUCCAGGUGAAUCCACCCAGGGCACACCCCUGGCGGCUCCUCUGAGCCCAUUGUGGGGGCUCACGUCUCACUGUCUCAGCGAAACGCUUCCACCCAGCAGGGGAAGGCCACAACUUCCCAAAGCGACAAUGGGGACUUCCAGACGAGGUGGUCCCACUAGUCAGGGCCUAGAGAGGGCAGCUGGGACCCUGAGCACGCAGGAUCAGGGGACGUGGGGGUGACUGCUCUUUAGGUUGUAAGAAAAGAGGGAGAAGCCUCCGGGCAGCAGCUGCCCACUGACAGCCCCCACGGCCCUCAGGGCCCGGCUGGCCAGUGUUUUGGUGUCCGGCCCACACGUCUCCCUCAGGGCUCCGGGACUCCACUCCCUCUCCAGCUGCAGUGACAACUCUCGAGGAAAAGCACAGCCCCUGGAGCCAGCCUCAGGUUGUGCCCCCAAAGGCCCAGGGAGGGGCAGUGCUCCUUGCUGGGUGAGGGGUGGGCCCUGCAUGGUGCGCUUCCCUGGCGAGGGGCUCUGGGACCUGACGUCAGAGGGGAGGGGUGCCUUUGUGGGAGCAGAGCUCCGUUCUCACCAGACCUGGGCUCUGGGAAGCGGGCAGGGCCUUCACAUCAAGUGACAUCAAGCCACAGUUCCUCUCCGUGGGUGGCCUUCUCAAAGUGCUGUCCUCUGCCUCCCCCACACGUGCCGGACCCUGCAGGUGCCUCAGCCCACCCCUGGACCAGACACACUGUGGGCUGGGCACCUGUGUGGCUGGGGACAGGGGAGGAGGUAGCCUCCAGGCACCUGUAGCAGGGAUCGCCAGUGUGAGGGGUGGACCUGAGGGGAGACGCCCCACGGCCCCCAGGCCCAGGGCACAGUGGCCAAGAUGGCUGGGAAGGAGAGCAGCAAGGGCACUGUCUGAGUGGCUGCCCAGAUCCCUGCAUGCUGGCCGUGCCCCAGGGUGGGGUCUGUGUCACCUUGGGCCCUGGGUCUACCUGCUACAACGACAGGCACCCCUGGUGCUCGGUGACGCCACUGAGGUUGUGCAGCGGGAGCCUUAACCCCCCUCACCUGUCUCCUUUGCUUUAGCAGGUGAGGAAGCCGGUACACAGAGGGUGGCCGCUCUUGCCGCUGUCCCGGCUGGUGGGGCAGGCCGGCAUCCCAGCCCUUUGCCCAGCCUGGAUGUACCUGCUUCUGUAGUCCCUGUGGACAGAGAUGUGCUGGGCGUUUAGAAGUGUGUCUUCAGAGCAGUGUGGGUAGUGGGCUGGCAUCUGCUGUCCCCACCACCCGGGCCUCCAUUUUCUCACCUGCAGAGCAAGGAUGGAGAGGUCCUGGCUUCCAGUGUCCACGUGAGCGAGCCGGCCUGCCCAGCUCUGAGCUCUGGGGUUUGGGUGGCUUCUCCGGGUUCCCACCGGCUCCAUGAGACCUGGGCGGGUGGGAGCACAGUGCUUCCAGGAUCUUUAGGGAAGGAGCCUGAGCCAGAGGCUCCCAGGACUCACAGGACUGUGAGCCUGGCCUGGGACCCCCUCUUCCCCUUCUCUCUCCGGUGCAGACAAGCCAAGAGCCGGCAGUGCAAGCAUACAGCAGUCGGGCUGAAAGGGCCACGUGGCCACCAGCUGGAAGAAAAACAUCACGUGUGCCACGCCUGUUCUUGUGAAGAAAGGUUCUACUCUGGUCUUCCCCGAUCUUUGGGGUAAAACAUGGCUCACAAAUACGAUGGUAUAAAAGUGUGUUGGACGGCCGUCUCUCUCCUCCACGAGCCCCCAGACAGCCACGGUCAUCAGCACGCGUUUCCUUCCACUGGCAGUGGUCGCAUCAGCAGACAAGGACAUGUAGCCCAGCUCCCCGUGUUUACAGUCGUCGCAUACUAAGUGCUCUCUCCUCUGGCCUUUUUCCCUUAAUAAUAUGCUGUGGAGAUGCACGUCGAAGUUGGGUGGCAGCACUUCAGACGACAGGUUUUGCUUUCCGUCUUCUGAGACAGGCACACGGCUCUGUUGCCCUGGAGCGCACGCUCUCUGCACGUGCACAGGCCCACGUGACAAGCUGCAGCUCGCCGCCGGCAAGGGGCGCGCGGCGGGGGACAC